CAGGCCGGACGGGUUGGUCGCGGGCCGGGCAACCGGCUCGAGGAAAGUCCGAGCUCCAUCGGGUGCGCUGCCAGGUAACGCCUGGGCGCCGCAAGGCGACGGACAGGGCCACAGAAAACAGACCGCCCCGCCUCACGGCGGGGUAAGGGUGAAAAGGUGGGGUAAGAGCCCACCGCGUCCCUGGCAACAGGGGUGGCACGGUAACCCCCAGCGGGAGCAAGGCCAAAUAGGCGGUGAGGGGUGACCCACCCCGAGGGGGGCGUUUCGGCGCUCUCGACAACCGCGGGUAGGCUGCUCGAGGCGGCCGGCGACGGCCGUCCCAGACAGAUGACCAGCUGUUCCCGGGGUUCGCCCCGGUGGGCAAACAGAACUCGGCUUACGGUUCGACCUGCAAC
rnacentral:RNase_P_RNA from 1 species